GACGAACGCUGGCGGCGUGCUUAACACAUGCAAGUCGAACGGAAAGGCCCUGCUUUUGUGGGGUGCUCGAGUGGCGAACGGGUGAGUAACACGUGAGUAACCUGCCCUUGACUUUGGGAUAACUUCAGGGAACUGGGGCUAAUACCGGAUAGGAGCUCCUGCUGCAUGGUGGGGGUUGGAAAGUUUCGGCGGUUGGGGAUGGACUCGCGGCUUAUCAGCUUGUUGGUGGGGUAGUGGCUUACCAAGGCUUUGACGGGUAGCCGGCCUGAGAGGGUGACCGGCCACAUUGGGACUGAGAGACGGCCCAGACUCCUACGGGAGGCAGCAGUGGCGAAUAUUGCACAACGGGCGGAAGCCUGAUGCAGCAACGCCGCGUGCGGGAUGACGGCCUUCGGGUUGUAAACCGCUUUCGCCUGUGACGAAGCGUGAGUGACGGUAAUGGGUAAAGAAGCACCGGCUAACUACGUG
rnacentral:rRNA from 1 species